GAUCCUGGCUCAGGAUGAACGCUAGCGACAGGCCUAACACAUGCAAGUCGAGGGGCAGCGGGGAGGUAGCAAUACCUUUGCCGGCGACCGGCGCACGGGUGAGUAACACGUAUGCAAUCCACCUGUAACAGGGGGAUAACCCGGAGAAAUCCGGACUAAUACCCCAUAAUAUGGGCGCUCCGCAUGGAGAGUUCAUUAAAGAGAGCAAUUUUGGUUACAGACGAGCAUGCGCUCCACUUAG
rnacentral:rRNA from 1 species